rnacentral:lncRNA from 1 species
CAGCUCCAGCCCAAGCUGAAGUCCCACCUGUAGAGCUCGUGCCAGCUCCACCUGCAGCUCCCUCCUCAGCCUGGGACCACAGCCAGAGCCAGCGCCAGGAACCCCUUCUCCACCAGCUGCACAGCUGUGGAUCCUGGUGGCUGCUCCAGGAACCCCUUCUCCACCAGCUGCACAGCUGUGGACCCUGGUGGUUGCACGGCGGGCAACAGCUCC